GCGCACUGGACGCCCAGCGGGAGUAACAAGUUCAGGCUGGAGUCGGGGCCGGUUACAACCCAGCUACAAGUUGGUAAUGGACGUUAUCUCUUUAGGACCGUACAAAGCACAAAGUCAGGAAUUGGGCCCGUUUAAACUUUCACGGAACGCCAACAUUGUCUGCAUCAGCGUGGAAGCCGUCCAACAGAGCGUAAUUGCCAUUAGGUGCGAUUAAAAGAGGACGGGCCAGGAGUAAACCAGAAUAGGAUUGAUGCCAGAAGGGCCUAAACCGGGGAUGGAGAGCAAGAAGGGAAGAGAACAGAAGUGGAGCAUUUCAAGGACACUUCAACAUCUGGCCCUCGGGUAACAAAGGGCUUAAUAUAUAGGAGCGAUACCCCCUCAAAACCCCGCUACCAUAUUUUACUUCUGAUCGUACAGUGAAGAGAGCGGAGAAACUACCGGUAAAAAGAAACAAACGUUAAGAGGGAAAGAAUAAUAGGGCCUUUUGUCAAACGUUGCCUCCAGGACAGGAAAAAUACGAAGUAGUAUAAACCUAAAACCAAGAUUUAUUCGUGGUAAACCAUAUGUAAGUAACACAGUAAAUAAAACAUAGUCAACUCGC